AUUGAACGCUGGCGGCAGGCUUAACACAUGCAAGUCGAGCGGAGAUGAGGUGCUUGCACCUUAUCUUAGCGGCGGACGGGUGAGUAAUGCUUAGGAAUCUGCCUAUUAGUGGGGGACAACAUUCCGAAAGGAAUGCUAAUACCGCAUACGUCCUACGGGAGAAAGCAGGGGAUCUUCGGACCUUGCGAUAAUAGAUGAGCCUAAGUCGGAUUAGCUAGUUGGUGGGGUAAAGGCUUACCAAGGCGACGAUCUGUAGCGGGUCUGAGAGGAGGAUCCGCCACACUGGGACUGAGACACGGCCCAGACUCCUACGGGAGGCAGCAGUGGGGAAUAUUGGACAAUGGGGGAAACCCUGAUCCAGCCAUGCCGCGUGUGUGAAGAAGGCCUUAUGGUUGUAAAGCACUUUAAGCGAGGAGGAGGCUACUGAGACUAAUACUCUUGGAUAGUGGACGUUACUCGCAGAAUAAGCACCGGCUAACUCUGUGCCAGCAGCCGCAGUAA
rnacentral:rRNA from 1 species